CUGGGCUGGGUACUAUGUCGUUUCAUGUUUGUGGUGCAAUAGCUGUUCUUACAUCACCGCCAUUAACAUUUUCCUUAAUCUCUUCUCCCUCUCUCAUCGUCAGUCUAUUUUCGGUCAUUUGACUAUCGGAAUUACUCUCCGAGCAAGGUUAAGUAAAAGCUAUAUCUAUCCUAUUAAAAAUAAACUAUACGAUCAGGUUACUUAAAGAUUAACUGUCGCAAGCGCAGUUUCAAGGCGUGCCCUUCACGAUGUCUUUUGUUUGGUUUGUUUGGUUUUUUUUUUUAUCAGUUAAGAAAAGAAAGAAUCCUUGAUCAUCAUUUAAGACCUUCAUUAUAAUUCAGUCAUUCGGCCAAGGUUGGCCAAGGUCGGCCAAGGUCGGCCAAAUGGUAAGUGCGAUGAUUGAACGCCAGUCACGUUGCAAUACAAUUUGAAAACUGAGCUUAACUUGAUUCGACGUUCAUCUUUCGUUCAUUUCAUUAUCGUUAGAUGGACUUUUUCUUAAAUUUCUGCUGGUCCAGUUGUUCUGAUACGGUUGAAACCAAACGCAGUGGGCUGCCGAUUACGAAUGAAAUUGAAAGUUUAGGCUAUGCGGGACACCCUCAAUCGCUUUCUCUUUCGCCAUUUGAUAUAAGUCAUGACGGUCGGCAUUGAUGGACGCCGAUGUAUGCGGGUGACAAAACACAUUCAUAGCAUUUCAAAGUCAAUCUUUGAAAUCUAUGAACAGUUUUGUGUACAGCUUAUGAUGUCACGAAUCGUGAACGAUUGAUGCCUCGGUUGUACAGGAAUGCAAAUGUAGAAAGCGUUUGCCAACUGUGGCGAAAUCAAAGGGAUCCCAAAGUUAUGCCGCGAUUUCGGGUUGAACAUUGUAGGGUUAUUGCCUAACGAGUUAUGUAAAAGGUGUUCUUCUUUUUUAAUUCGACAUUGUGAAAAUGUUAAGUAUUAAAAAGGCAUCUAAAGUUUCCCAUCGAUAACUUUGAAAAAGAGACAUACAAGUAAGGGACUAAAUGGAUUCACUUUUAUGUAGUACUUAUGAAUGCAAAUGGAGGGGAAGGGUGACGAAACGGCAACACGUGCAUUCGCGACAUUUCGUUUUCAAAAAUAUGCUAAUCGGUUAUACCUGGCUCAUCCGGCUUCAUGUUUCUUUCUUAUCAGAGUCGAAACCAAAUGGAGCCCUUCCUCCCUCCAUUAACUACGCACAUAUUUGAUCUGGUUUCCAGCAUUUGACGUGGCCGGUUCUUCAGUAUUUUGACAGCCAAGGCCAUCACCAAGAUUUUUCGUUCGUCCCUUUCGAAAUUAUAAUCUUUUGAAUGGGCAGCAGUUAGAUGAUGCGGGUAAGACCAAAGGAAUCAACGGAAAUUGCAUCGUCCUGAAUCGGCUGAAAAUCCUGAGCAAUCUGGAACACCUCUUGCGACUCGAAAUCAUUUUGAAUGAUCAAAUCACUACUGCCUGAUUGGUAAGCAUUGUAACUAUUGCCACUAUUCCUGUUGUUCGUUUUCAGACUCCUCAGGAACUCGUCCAAUCGGCCGGUCGAACGGCCACUAGACUUUCCGUAGCCUGAAGAGGCCAAUCGAACGACAGGCACAGCCACCUGAGCAACCUCCUUGAUGGUCUUGCUGGGCUCUACCGUUUGCUUGACAAUUGGAAAGCUGUCGUAUGUGGCCGUUUCACGGUUUACGGCACGGAUGGCAGCAGGGGCUUGAUCGUAAGAGAUGCGAGUUGGAGCCGUAACGCGGACGUUGUUUUUUUUAACGUACGCGUCGUCAUUCUGAUCAAUAAGGCGGACCACGUUGUUGGUACGACGCGAUGAGCUUCUCACAGGGACACGGACAUUAGGGAUAGCAACUUGAGAAACUGUUUUAGUGGGGGUUAACACGCGGAUAUCGGAAACAGCGGCAUCGUACGGAUCAGCAACGCGGAUGGCAGUCGAUGGGUUUUCAUAAGAAUUUUUAGCCGAUGAAACGAAGCGAACAGUUCCGGCUUCUUUGUUUUUACGGGCUGGAGCUACUACGCUGACGUCUAAAAGUGGGGAAGUAUGCGGAUUAGCGACACGAACUACGGUUGGCUGGAUGUCGUAAGUUUCUUUAGCUGGAGAAGAAAUGCGGACGACUCCAGCGUUGUAGUUGAUGUCACGGGCUGGCGAUGGAUCAGGAAAGCCAUCUUCAUCGUCAUCAACGCUAGUGUACUGGUAGUCUAAAGCUUUCUGUUCCACCGAUUUUGGGGAUGUGCGGAUGAAAGGAAACGGCUGACUGCUGCGGACACCUUCGUUGAGCAGAGUUCCUCGAGCUUGGAAUCCGACAGACUGACCGGACAUCUUUCCAGCCGCGUAUUCUAUCGUCAUUCCAAUAAAUCAUUAACUUUGAGUUUGUUUAAAACCCUUUCUAAAAGUGCUUUAAAUUACCGGUUUCUUGUGCUUUUCCGUAGGAAUCAAUGUAUCCAUAUUUGCCGGUCAUGUAACCGUUCACGUCCAUAUUCUCGACUCGGAACGAUCCGUCUGAAGCUUCGAAUCCGAACGUGUAAGAGCCAUCGUCAUUCAGUUGGUUGAUCUGUUUCAAAAUCGUCACAGCUGGACCGGGAUACGACGUUGUGGACGAUUUACUGGUGACGUAGUUAGCAGGAGAAGCCAACGAGUAAGCCACAGCAAACAGCAACAUCAUCUAAUAUCACAUUAUUUCAUGUAAAAAAAACUAAUAAUAAUCAACUAACAAUAAGAAAUUUCCAGUUGAUUACCAGAGGACGACGUACAAUGCUAGAAAUCAUUUUUCUCUUGAAUCACGAACGACGUGUAACAACAGCGAGGAAGGAGCAGCUUUGAACUUGAUUGCCGUUGAAUUGACUGAUGAAUAAAACCGAGGACUCGGCCGUCUUUAUAUACAGCGACGGAAAGUGAAUGUUGGGUUGAUCAUGCAACCAUAUCACACUACCCCGUUCAACAGAUGACCUGUCUGUCAACUUUUACUCUGGCCGGCAGACUCUCACGAAACGCGGGACGGCAUCACGAUACUCUGCAGAAUCGUAUUGCGACAGAUUUGGAAAAGAUUUUUGUUCCAUCUUAGAUGCGAUAUGUCCGAAGAAGAAUGUGCAUAUUCGCUUUCUUUUUUUUUCACCUGUCCUCCACCUGAUGAUUUGUUUGAUUAAGUUUCCUUUUUUUCUCCCCUUGGGAAAUCUACAGAUGUUCUAGUGUACGAAUUUUGAAGCUCGUGACAGUACACAUACGGGUGUGAGCUACACCCAAACCGGUACUUUGUGUGUCUCCAUCGGCAAAUCCUUGAAGAGCCAUCAUUCUUCACGGUGUUUUCUUCAUUGGACAAAGUGAAAGGUAUGUCGAUAUCGGAGAUGCGCUAUCGAGUUGGCUGAUCCUGACGCCUAUUGUUUGCUUAUCAUUGCGCAAAGAGACAGAUCGUGUUCUGUAUUUUUUUAAAGUGUAACCUCAAGACCAUCACAA